rnacentral:misc_RNA from 1 species
GAUGAAGAACGCAGUGAAAUGCGAUAAGUAAUGUGAAUUGCAGAAUUCAGUGAAUCAUCGAAUCUUUGAACGCACCUUGCGCCCUUUGGCCAUUCCGAAGGGCAUGCCUGUUUGAGUAUCAUGAACACCUCAACUCUUUAUGGUUUUCCAUGAUGAGCUUGGACUCUGGGGGUUUUGCUGGCUCACAAUCGGCUCCUCUAAAAUGAAUCAGCUUACCAGUGUUUGGUGGGUAUCAUGGGUGUGAUAACUAUCUACGCUUGUGGUUUUUCCACCAGGUAACCUUCAGCAGUGGAGGUUCGCUGGAGCUCAUAGAUGUCUCUCCUCAGUGAGGACAGCCCUUUGAAUGUUUGAUCUCAAAUCAGGUAGGACUACCCGCUGAACUUAAGCAUAUCAAUAAGCGGAGGA